AACGAACGCUGGCGGCAUGCCUAACACAUGCAAGUCGAACGAGACCUUCGGGUCUAGUGGCGCACGGGUGCGUAACGCGUGGGAACCUGCCCUUAGGUUCGGAAUAACUCCCCGAAAGGGGUGCUAAUACCGGAUAAUGUCUUCGGACCAAAGAUUUAUCGCCUUUGGAUGGGCCCGCGUUGGAUUAGCUAGUCGGUAGGGUAAAAGCCUACCAAGGCGACGAUCCAUAGCUGGUCUGAGAGGAUGAUCAGCCACACUGGGACUGAGACACGGCCCAGACUCAUACGGGAGGCAGCAGUGGGGAAUAUUGGACAAUGGGCGAAAGCCUGAUCCAGCAAUGCCGCGUGAGUGAUGAAGGCCUUAGGGUUGUAAAGCUCUUUUAACCGGGAUGAUAAUGACAGUACCGGGAGAAUAAGCUCCGGCUAACUCCGUG
rnacentral:rRNA from 1 species